UACAGAGGUCCCGAGCGUUGUUCGGAUUUACUGGGCGUAAAGGGCGCGUAGGCGGCCAGCACAAGUCAGUUGUGAAAUCUCCGAGCUUAACUCGGAAAGGUCAACUGAUACUGUGCGGCUAGAGUGCGGAAGGGGCAACUGGAAUUCUUGGUGUAGCGGUGAAAUGCGUAGAUAUCAAGAGGAACACCUGCGGCGAAGGCGGGUUGCUGGGCCGACACUGACGCUGAGGCGCGAAAGCCAGGGGAGCGAACGGG
rnacentral:rRNA from 1 species